rnacentral:lncRNA from 1 species
AUUGUACUAGUGGAUCUUGCCUUCAUUCCGGAUCAGGGAAAAUGUGUAGGGUGAAAGAUGAGCUGUCCGGUUCGGAGGGGACUUGUUCUCUCUCCAACGGUCCCAGAGUUAAGUGAGAGGGGAGUAUGGGAGCGUUGGAGCCAGAGCCGACCAGCUCUAUGACCUUGCGCGGGUAACCUCUUCCAGCGUCAGUUUCUUCAUUGUUAAAUGAAAAUCCUUAAAAGUCCUGACCUGGGAACUGUGAAGAGAAAUAAAGAAGGCAAUGGAUGUAAACCCUUUGCACGGUGCCUGCACUGGCAAACGCUCAAUUUCAGUUUCUGCUGUUGCUACAAGUGUGCUGGUAAGAUAUAUAUAAUACAUGUAAAAAUUGUUUAAGCCAACUUCUUCUCCAGGGAUGACCGCGACACUCCCUUGAGGAUUAUCUAUCUUCUUCUGGCCACUUACAUAUGGUGGCUAUAUGAAAGGUGGCUAUAACGCUGGUGCCACCUUUCAUGACUCCAUCUAAACCUCUUACCAAGGUCUUGACUUCCUGACCAGCCUCCGCCUCCUUGGGCAGUUCUAGUGGACAGUCUACCUAAUGGGGCCAUGUGGGCUUUGGCUGGAAUCUCUCAGAUGGUGUCCACCACUAGACAGGAGCCCUUUAGGGCAGUGGCUCUUUGUUCACCUUGAUAUCCAGGUACCCACCAACAUUCCUGGCAUAUGAUAGGAAGACAGAUCCCUGGAAUUAAUUAAUCAAAGCUGUCUGGAGCAGAGGCCAUAUUGCUAUCUACAUACCACACCCAAACCAUUCUUCCCUCCACCCUCAAAAUGGCAUAGCAAAACCCCUCUUCUAGUAGGAGGGAUAAGAUGAUUUUGUUUCUCAAGACUUUCAAUUUUUAAUAGUUUUAUUGAGGUAUAACUGAUAUACGAUAGACUGUACAGGAGUUCCCUGGUGGCUCAGCAUGUUAAGGAUCCAGCAUUGUCACUGGAGUUCCUGCUGUGGUGCAGUGGGUUAAGUAUCAGAUCACAGCAGCUUAGGUAGCAGCUGCCACCCAGAUUAAUCCCUGGCCCAGGAACUUCUAUAUGCCAAGGGCAAAGCCAAAUAAAUAGAUAAAUAAAUAAUUUUAAAAAUAAAAUAAAAUGUAUGUUUUAGGGAACUAUACUCAAUAUCUUGUAAUAACCUAUAAUGUAAUGGAAAAGAAUCUUAUAAAGAAUAUAUAUAUAUGAAUUACUUUGCUGUAUACCUGAAACUAACACAACAUUGUAAAUCAACUAUAUUGCAGUAAAAAUUAAAAUUUAAAAACAUUAGGAGUUCCCAUCGUGGCUCAGCGGAAACAAAUCUGACUAGUAUCCAUAAAGAUGCAGGUUCAAUCCCUGGCCUUGCUCAGUGGGUUAAGGAUCCAGUGUUGCCAUGAGCUGUGGUGUAGGUUGCAGACACAACUUGGAUCUGCCAUUGCUGUGGCUGUGACGUAGCCGGGGGAUACACCUCCAAUUCAGCCUCUGGACUGGGAACCUCCAUAUGCCACAGGUGUGGCC